GAAGGGCGGCGGCCCUGGGUUCUGGGACAGGUGACCCGGCGACGGGGCGAGGCAGCUGGCGGCGUCGCAUGGAGGGCUCUGGGGGCGGUGCGGGCGAGCGGGCGCCGCUGCUAGGCGCGCGGCGGGCGGCGGCGGCGGCCGCGGCGGCGGCUGGGGCGUUCGCGGGCCGGCGCGCGGCGUGCGGGGCCGUGCUGCUGACGGAGCUGCUGGAGCGCGCCGCUUUCUACGGCAUCACGUCCAACCUGGUGCUAUUCCUGAACGGGGCGCCGUUCUGCUGGGAGGGCGCGCAGGCCAGCGAGGCGCUGCUGCUCUUCAUGGGCCUCACCUACCUGGGCUCGCCGUUCGGAGGCUGGCUGGCCGACGCGCGGCUGGGCCGGGCGCGCGCCAUCCUGCUGAGCCUGGCACUCUACCUGCUGGGCAUGCUGGCCUUCCCGCUCCUGGCCGCGCCCGCCACGCGAGCCGCGCUCUGCGGUUCCGCGCGCCUGCUCAACUGCACGGCGCCUGGUCCCGACGCCGCCGCCCGCUGCUGCGCACCGGCCACCUUCGCGGGGCUGGUGCUGGUGGGCCUGGGCGUGGCCACCGUCAAGGCCAACAUCACGCCCUUCGGGGCCGACCAGGUUAAAGAUCGAGGUCCGGAAGCCACUAGGAGAUUUUUUAAUUGGUUUUAUUGGAGCAUUAACCUGGGAGCGAUCCUGUCGUUAGGUGGCAUUGCCUAUAUUCAGCAGAACGUCAGCUUUGUCACUGGUUAUGCGAUCCCCACUGUCUGCGUCGGCCUUGCUUUUGUGGUCUUCCUCUGUGGCCAGAGCGUUUUCAUCACCAAGCCUCCUGAUGGCAGUGCCUUCACCGACAUGUUCAAGAUACUGACGUAUUCCUGCUGUUCCCAGAAGCGAAGUGGAGAGCGCCAGAGUAAUGGUGAAGGCAUUGGAGUCUUUCAGCAAUCUUCUAAACAAAGUCUGUUUGAUUCAUGUAAGAUGUCUCAUGGUGGGCCAUUUACAGAAGAGAAAGUGGAAGAUGUGAAAGCUCUGGUCAAGAUUGUCCCUGUUUUCUUGGCUUUGAUACCUUACUGGACAGUGUAUUUCCAAAUGCAGACAACAUAUGUUUUACAGAGUCUUCAUUUGAGGAUUCCAGAAAUUUCAAAUAUUACAACCACUCCUCACACGCUCCCUGCAGCCUGGCUGACCAUGUUUGAUGCUGUGCUCAUCCUCCUGCUCAUCCCUCUGAAGGACAAACUGGUCGAUCCCAUUUUGAGAAGACAUGGCCUGCUCCCAUCCUCCCUGAAGAGGAUCGCCGUGGGCAUGUUCUUUGUCAUGUGCUCGGCCUUUGCUGCAGGAAUUUUGGAGAGUAAAAGGCUGAACCUUGUUAAAGAGAAAACCAUUAAUCAGACCAUCGGCAACGUUGUCUACCAUGCUGCCGAUCUGUCGCUGUGGUGGCAGGUGCCGCAGUACUUGCUGAUUGGGAUCAGCGAGAUCUUUGCAAGUAUCGCAGGCCUGGAAUUUGCAUACUCAGCUGCCCCCAAGUCCAUGCAGAGUGCCAUAAUGGGCUUGUUCUUUUUCUUCUCUGGCGUCGGGUCGUUCGUGGGUUCUGGACUGCUGGCACUGGUGUCUAUCAAAGCCAUCGGAUGGAUGAGCAGUCACACAGACUUUGGGGCCAAGCCUGCCCUAGCCACAGCCCAGUGAGCAGCUGCUGCAGCCACCGCUCCUUAUGGGGACGUCCUUGACAGACAAGCACCUUCUCCACGCCCGUCCAGCUCAGUCUUCGUGAGGCAGCUGAAUCUGUACCCCAAGCUUCCCUUUCUUUAACUUGGUGGUGUACUUUCGUUUUCUUUUCCUAACAGCACCUUUUCUGAUACGAAAAAGACAAGAUAGUAAUAUUAACGGCUGCUAUUUGAACUAUUACUUUUUUCUUCUGGCUGCUAUUCAAGGAGCUACCCUCCUGCUUUUCCUCAUUAUUUCUGUGAAAUAUGACCAUCAUCGAGACCAUCAGCGAUCAAGAGCCAAUGGCGUGCCCACCAGCGGGAGGGCCUGACCUUCCUGAGGCCAUGUGCGGUUUCUGAGGCUGACAUGUCAGUAACUGACUGGGGUGCACUGAGAACAGGCAAGACUUUAAACUCCCAUAAAAUGUCUGACUUCACUGAAACUUGCAUGUUGCCUGGAUUGAUUUCUUCUUUCCCUCUAUCCAAAGGAGCUUGGUAAGUGCCUUACUGCAGCGUGUCUCCUGGCACGCUGGGCCCUCCGGGAGGAGAGCUGCAGAUUUCGAGUAUGUUGCUUGUCAUUCAAGGUCUCUGUGAAUCCUCUAGCUGGGUUCCCUUUUUUACAGAAACUCACAAAUGGAGAUUGCAAAGUCUUGGGGAACUCCACGUGUUAGUUGGCAUCCCAGUUUCUUGAACAAAUAGUAUCACCUGCUUCCCAUAGCCAUAUCUCAUUGUAAAAAAAAAUUAAUAAACUGUUACUUAUAUUUAGGAAAGUGAGGAUUUUUUUUUUUAAAAGAUAAAAGCAUGGUCAGAUGCUGCAAGGAUUUUACAUAAAUGCCGUAUUUAUGGUUUCCUUCCUGAGAACAAUCUUGCUCUUGCGAUGUUCUUUGAUUUAGGCUGGUAGUAAACACAUUUCAUCUGCUGCUUCAAAAAGUACUUACUUUUUACACCAUCAACAUUACUUUUCUUUCUUAAGGCAAGGCAUGCAUAGGAGUCAUUUGAGACCACGUGUCCCAUCUCAAGUUGCUCAAGUACAGAGCAACUCACGGGGUACUUCACACCUUACCUAGUCAGAGUGCUUAUAUAUAGCUUUAUUUUGGUACGAUUGAGACUAAAGACUGAUCAUGGUUGUAUGUAAGGAAAACAUUCUUUUGAACAGAAAUAGUGUAAUUAAAAAUAAUUGAAAGUGUUAAAUGUGAACUUGAGCUGUUUGACCAGUCACAUUUUUGUAUUGUUACUGUACAUGUGUCUGGGGCUUCUCCGUUUGUUAAUACUUUUUCUGUAUUUGUUGCUGUAUUUUUGGCAUAACUUUAUUAUAAAAAGCAUCUCAAAUGCGAAAUCCA